GGCGUCAGAACGAACGCUGGUGGCGUGUCUAUACAUGCAAGUCGAGCGAGGCAGCAAUGCCGAGCGGCGAACGGGUGAGUAACGCGUAAGCAAUCUGCCCCAUAUCAGGAAAUACCCGUGCCAACGCGCGGUUAAUGUCCAGGAGAGUGGCCUUCCGCAUGGAGGGUUGACUAGAGAUUUAUCGGUAUGGGAUGAGCUUGCGUCCGAUUAGCUAGUUGGCGGGGCAACGGCCCACCAAGGCGACGAUCGGUAGCCGGCCUGAGAGGGUGAUCGGCCACAUUGGGACUGAGAUACGGCCCAGACUCCUACGGGAGGCAGCAGUAGGGAAUAUUGCACAAUGGGGGAAACCCUGAUGCAGCAACGCCACGUGUGGGAAGAAGCAUUUCGGUGUGUAAACCACUGUCAUGAGGGAAUAAGGCCCGCCUUCGGACGGGAUUGAAUGUACCUUGAGAGGAAGCACCGGCAAACUUCGUGCCAGCAGCCGC
rnacentral:rRNA from 1 species